rnacentral:rRNA from 1 species
GUGGGGAAUCUUGCACAAUGGGGGCAACCCUGAUGCAGCGACGCCGCGUGAGCGAUGAAGCCCUUCGGGGUGUAAAGCUCUUUCGGCGGGAACGAUAAUGACGGUACCCGCAAAAGAAGCUGCGGCUAACUACGUGCCAGCAGCCGCGGUAAUACGUAGGCAGCAAGCGUUGUUCGGAGUUACUGGGCGUAAAGAGUGUGUAGGCGGUCCUCUAAGUUCGGUGUGAAAUCUCCCGGCUCAACUGGGAGGGUGCGCCGGAAACUGGAGGGCUCGAGUAUGGGAGAGGAAAGCGGAAUUCCUGGUGUAGCGGUGAAAUGCGUAGAUAUCAGGAGGAACACCUGCGGUGUAGACGGCUUUCUGGACCAUGACUGACGCUGAGACACGAAAGCGUGGGUAGCAAACAGGAUUAGAUACCCGUGUAGUCC